rnacentral:misc_RNA from 1 species
GAUGAAGAACUUAGCGAAAUGCGAUCAGUAAUGUGAAUUGCAGAAUUCAGUGAAUCAUCGAAUCUUUGAACGCACAUUGCGCCCGCCAGUAUUCUGGCGGGCAUGCCUGUUCGAGCGUCAUUACAACCCUCAGGCCCCCGGGCCUGGCGUUGGGGAUCGGCGGAGCCCCCCGUGGGCACACGCCGUCCCCCAAAUGCAGUGGCGGUCCCGCCGCAGCUUCCAUCGCGUAGUAGCUAACACCUCGCGACUGGAGAGCGGCGCGGCCACGCCGUAAAACACCCAACUCUUCUGAAGUUGACCUCGAAUCAGGUAGGAAUACCCGCUGAACUUAAGCAUAUCAAUAAGCGGAGGA